UUACUGGGCGUAAAGACGCAUGCAGGCGGCCUGUUAAGUCAGAUGUGAAAGACCCGGGGCGUUAACCUCGGAAUUGCAUUUGUAAACUAGGCAGGCUAGAGUCUUGUAGAGGGGGGUAGGAAGUUUCAGGUGUAGCGGUGAAAUAGCGUAGAGAUCUGAAGGAAUACCAGUGGCGAAGGCGGCCCCCUCGGACAAAGACUGACGCUCAGAUGCGAAAGCGUGGGGAGCAAACAGGAUUAGAUACCCUGGUAG
rnacentral:rRNA from 1 species